AAGGCUCUAGUUUAAUUAAAACAUCUGAGUUGCAAUCAGAAGAUGCAGGACAGUGGCCUGUGAGUCUUA
rnacentral:tRNA from 1 species